GAGCAUUUAUUUGCACUGUCCCCUUUGUCUAUUAUGUGGCUAAGGGUUUGCUUAACGAUGCUAGAUCAAAUCCCUUCUUGGAGAAAGGCCAGGCUUUCUUGUAGCCUGCCCCUUGUGAAAGUUGGGUACAAAA